GGGGUAACGGCCCACCAAACCGACGAUCAGUAGCCGACCUGAGAGGGCGACCGGCCACAUUGGGACUGAGACACGGCCCAAACUCCUACGGGAGGCAGCAGUGGGGGAUAUUGCACAAUGGAGGAAACUCUGAUGCAGCAACGCCGCGUGAGGGAAGAAGGUUUUCGGAUUGUAAACCUCUGUCCUUAGGGACGAUAAUGACGGUACCUAAGGAGGAAGCUCCGGCUAACUAC
rnacentral:rRNA from 1 species